AGGAUUAACGCUGGCGGCGUGCAUGAAACAUGCAAGUCGAGCGCGGUGUGAUGCGGGGUAACCCAAUUCACAUCUAGCGGCGAACGGGUGAGUAACACGUGAGCAACCUACCUUUGAGUUGGGGAUAGCCCUGGGAAACCAGGAUUAAUACCCGAUGUGGUCACAACAGGACAUCCUGAUGUGAGUAAAGGCGUAAGCCGCUCAAUGACGGGCUCGCGGCCUAUUAGCUUGUUGGUGGGGUAACGGCCUACCAAGGCGAUGAUGGGUAGCUGGUCUGAGAGGACGAUCAGCCACACUGGGACUGAGACACGGCCCAGACUCCUACGGGAGGCAGCAGUUAGGAAUUUUCCGCAAUGGGCGAAAGCCUGACGGAGCAACGCCGCGUGCAGGAUGAAGGUUUUCGGAUCGUAAACUGCUUUUCUCGGGGACGAGCAAGGACGGUACCCGAGGAAGAAGCCCCGGCUAACUACGUGCCAGCAGCCGC
rnacentral:rRNA from 1 species